UACAGAGGUCUCAAGCGUUGUUCGGAUUCAUUGGGCGUAAAGGGUGCGUAGGUGGCGUCGUAAGUCGGGUGUGAAAUUUCGGAGCUUAACUCCGAAACUGCAUUCGAUACUGCGGUGCUUGGGGACUGGAGAGGAGACUGGAAUUUACGGUGUAGCAGUGAAAUGCGUAGAGAUCGUAAGGAAGACCAGUGGCGAAGGCGGGUCUCUGGACAGUUCCUGACACUGAGGCACGAAGGCCAGGGGAGCAAACGGG
rnacentral:rRNA from 1 species